GAUGAACGCUGGCGGCGUGCUUAACACAUGCAAGUCGAACGGACUUUACAUGAAACCUAGUGAUUGUAAAGUUAGUGGCGGACGGGUGAGUAACGCGUGAAUAACCUGCCUUAUACUGGGGGACAACAGUUGGAAACGACUGCUAAUACCGCAUAAGCGCACAGUUCUGCAUGGAACAGUGUGAAAAACUCCGGUGGUAUAAGAUGGAUUCGCGUCUGAUUAGCUAGUUGGUGAGGUAACGGCUCACCAAGGCGACGAUCAGUAGCCGGCCUGAGAGGGUGAACGGCCACAUUGGGACUGAGACACGGCCCAAACUCCUACGGGAGGCAGCAGGUGGGGAAUAUUGCACAAUGGGGGAAACCCUGAUGCAGCGACGCCGCGUGAGUGAAGAAGUAUUUCGGUAUGUAAAGCUCUAUCAGCAGGGAAGAAAAUGACGGUACCUGACUAAGAAGCCCCGGCUAACUACGUG
rnacentral:rRNA from 1 species